UGGGAACGUACCUCUUGGUUCGGAACAACACAGGGAAACUUGUGCUAAUACCGGAUAAGCCCUUACGGGGAAAGAUUUAUCGCCGAGAGAUCGGCCCGCGUCUGAUUAGCUAGUUGGUGAGGUAACGGCUCACCAAGGCGACGAUCAGUAGCUGGUCUGAGAGGACGAUCAGCCACACUGGGACUGAGACACGGCCCAGACUCCUACGGGAGGCAG
rnacentral:rRNA from 1 species